AACGAACGCUGGCGGCAGGCCUAACACAUGCCAGUCGAACGCCCCGCCAGGGGAGUGGCAGACGGGUGGGUAACACGUGGGGACCUUCCCUCUAGUACGGAAUAGCCCAGGGAUACUUGGAGUAAUACCGUAUUCGCCCGAAAAGGGGAAGAAUUUCGCUAUAGGAUGGGCCCGCGUAGGAUUGGCUAGUGGGUGGGGUAAUAGCUCACCAAGGCGACGAUCCUUAGCUGGUUUGGGAGAACGACCAGCCACACUGGUACUCAGACACGGACCAGACUCCUACGGGAGGCAGCAGUGGGGAAUAUUGGACAAUGGGGGCAAGUCUGAUCCAGCCAUGCCGCGUGAGUGAUGAAGGCCUUAGGGUUGUAAAGCUCUUUUGGCGGGGACGAUAAUGACGGUACCCGCAGAAUAAGUCCCGGCUAACUUCGUG
rnacentral:rRNA from 1 species